CAACUGUCCACAGCAUCAGCCUCACCGGGGUCCCCAGGUAGCACUACGCCUGGCCAUAUAACUGUCCACAGCCUCAGCCUCACCAGAGACCCCAAGCAGCACUAGGCCUGCUUAUCUGAAAUGCAGCUGUCUGCAGCCCCAGCUGCAUCAGGAACCACGGGUAAUGCCGUGCCUGCCCAUCAGAAAUACAACGGUUCAAAGCCUCAGCCUCACCAGAAGUGCCAGUUAGCGCUGUGCCUGCCCAUGGAAAUGCAGCUGUCCACAGCCUCAGCGUCACCAUCAGCCCUAGGUACCGCUGUGCCUGCCCAUUAGAAAAGCAGUGGUUUACAGCCACCACCUCACCAGGAACCCGAGGUAGCACUGUGCCUGCCCAUCUCAACUGCCCACAGAAUCAGCCUCACAAGGUACCCCAGGUAGCACUGUGUCUGCCCAUCUGAACCAUCCCCAGCCUCAGCCUCACCACGGACCCCAGGUACGACUAUGCCUGCUCAUCUCAGCUGUCCACACACUCAGCCUCACCAGAGACCCCAGGCAGCACUGUGCCUGCCUAUCAGAAAUGCAGCUGUCCACAGCCUCAGCCUCACCAGGAACCCCAGGUAGCACUGUGCCUGCCCAUCAGAAAUGCAGCUGUCCACAGCCUCAGCCUCACUAGGAACCCCAGGUAGCACUGUGCCUGCUCAUCUCAACUGUCCACAGAAUCAGCCUCACAAGGGACCCCAUGUAGCACUGU